CAUGGAUAGAGAUCUAGAUCAUUUGGCUGUUCCGUCAGUGUGUAUUGACUCCCGUGAAAUGACCAGUAGCUUAAUGGUGGAUUGUAACCGAUCAAAUCGACCAACAAGACCCGGAAUAUUAAAAACUCACAAACAGAAGCCAAAUUUUCAGCCACACAAACCUGUGUGCAGCCAGUAGUUCACCCACUGUUGGUUGCCGUGGAAGGCACAGGACUGAGCCAGCUCGUUCUCGUGGUGGGGGAAGAUGAGGUCCUCUCCUCCAGAGUGCAGGUCGAAGUUACAGCCGAAUAUCCCGCUGCCUCCGGGAGAAAGACAAGACAUGCAGAAAGAUCAUCAUACCAUCCUGUGCUUUGUAAGCAAGUCCCCGCUGUUGGAUGCCGUUGAUGAAGUCUAUGAUGACAGGAAUGUGGUCAGUGACUCGAGUGACCACGCUAGGAGGGGACACAUUCAGAAACCAUCCUGUCUAACUGUGGGCGGAGAAUACGACGAAAACAGCGAUAAAAAAGACGCAGACAAAGAAAGAAAGCAAUGACGAAGACGAAGAAUUCGACGAAGAGGACAGAACAACAUCCAGGUCUCUGCACCAUAUAGGAAUAUGGGGAAGAUGUAGCAUUCCAGCAUUUCUUUUUUUACAACGAGAGAUAUUUGCCUGGAUUUAAAUAGUUUGUACAUUAAAAUUUGGCUGAAUCUUG